rnacentral:rRNA from 1 species
AAUAGCUCACUGGUCGAGUCGGCCUGCGCGGAAGAUGUAACGGGGCUAAACCAUGCACCGAAGCUGCGGCAGCGACACUAUGUGUUGUUGGGUAGGGGAGCGUUCUGUAAGCCUGCGAAGGUGUACUGUGAGGUAUGCUGGAGGUAUCAGAAGUGCGAAUGCUGACAUAAGUAACGAUAAAGCGGGUGAAAAGCCCGCUCGCCGGAAGACCAAGGGUUCCUGUCCAACGUUAAUCGGGGCAGGGUGAGUCGACCCCUAAGGCGAGGCCGAAAGGCGUAGUCGAUGGGAAACAGGUUAAUAUUCCUGUACUUGGUGUUACUGCGAAGGGGGGACGGAGAAGGCUAUGUUGGCCGGGCGACGGUUGUCCCGGUUUAAGCGUGUAGGCUGGUUUUCCAGGCAAAUCCGGAAAAUCAAGGCUGAGGCGUGAUGACGAGGCACUACGGUGCUGAAGCAACAAAUGCCCUGCUUCCAGGAAAAGCCUCUAAGCAUCAGGUAACAUCAAAUCGUACCCCAAACCGACACAGGUGGUCAGGUAGAGAAUACCAAGGCGCUUGAGAGAACUCGGGUGAAGGAACUAGGCAAAAUGGUGCCGUAACU